AAAGUACAACAUAAGGCAAUGACAUAUAAUACCGAAUUAACUUGAGGUUGAAGUUAAACCAGAUAAUCAACAGCAUUUACCCUCGCAAAACAAAACAAAUGCAAAAAUAGUCGCUAAAUAUUACACAAAAAUUCAAAUCAGCAUAAUAUGAAAUAAAAAAAAUACAACAUAACGUAUUGCAUAAUAAUACCUAAUUAACUUGAGGUUGAAAUUGAACCCGAGAAAUUUCAAUCUCAAGUUAAUUAAGACCCAAGAUAAAUUUACAAAAUUUAUAGCAAUUUUUACGUACCACAAUAUUUAAAGGUGUGGAGAUAUGUAUUUCGGAGUUCUUGGUCCUAGGUAUCGCUAUUAGCAUGGUACAUCCAAUCGAGUCCACAGCAUUGGUCCUCGCAAAAUAACACAAAUACAAAAAGUCACUAGUCAUUACAAAAAAAUUCAAAUCAGCAUAAUAUGAAAUAGACAUAGUACAACAUAAAACAUGGACAUAUAAUACCGAAUUAAGUUGAGGUUGAAGUUAAACCAGAUAAUCAACAGCAUUUGCCCUCGCAAAACAAAACAAAUACAAAACAGUCGCUAAAUAUUACUCAAAAAUUCAAAUCAGUAUAAUAUGAAAUAGACAAAAUACAAUAUAAGGUAUUGUCUAAUAAUACCUAAUUAACUUGAGGUUGAAAUUGAACCCGAGAAAUUUCAAUCUCAAGUUAAUUAAGACCCAAGAUAAAUUUAUAAAAUUUAUAGCAAUUUUUACGUACCACAAUAUUUAAAGGUGUGGAGAUAUGUAUUUCAGAGUUCUUGGGCCUAGGUAUCGCUAUUAGCAUGGUACAUCCAAUCGAGUCCACAGCAUUGGUCCUCGCAAAAUAACACAAAUACAAAAAGUCACUAGUCAUUACAAAAAAAUUCAAAUCAGCAUAAUAUGAAAUAGACAAAGUACAACAUAAGACAAGGACAUAUAAUACCGAAUUAAGUUGAGGUUGAAGUUAAACCAGAUAAUCUACAGCAUUUGCCCUCGCAAAACAAAACAAAUACAAAACAGUCGCUAAAUAUUACUCAAAAAUUCAAAUCAGUAUAAUAUGAAAUAGACAAAAUACAAUAUAAGGUAUUGUCUAAUAAUACCUAAUUAACUUGAGGUGGAAAUUGAACCCGGGGAAUUUCAAUCUCAAGUUAAUUAAGACCCAAGAUAAAUUUACAAAAUUUAUAGCAAUUUUUACGUACCACAAUAUUUUAAGGUGUGGAGAUAUGUAUUUCAGAAAAGUUCUUGGGCCUAGGUAUCGCUAUUAGCAUGGUACAUCCAAUCGAGUCCACAGCAUUGGUCCUCGCAAAAUAACACAAAUACAAAAAGUCACUAGUCAUUACAAAAAAAUUCAAAUCAGCAUAAUUUGAAAUAGACAUAGUACAACAUAAGAUAUGGACAUAUAAUACCGAAUUAAGUUGAGGUUGAAGUUAAACCAGAUAAUCAACAGCAUUUACCCUCGCAAAACAAAACAAAUACAAAACAGUCGCUAAAUAUUACUCAAAAAUUCAAAUCAGUAUAAUAUGAAAUAGACAAAAUACAAUAUAAGGUAUUGUCUAAUAAUACCUAAUUAACUUGAGGUUGAAAUUGAACCCGAGAAAUUUCAAUCUCAAGUUAAUUAAGACCCAAGAUAAAUUUACAAAAUUUAUAGCAAUUUUUACGUACCACAAUAUUUAAAGGUGUGGAGAUAUGUAUUUCGGAGUUCUUGGUCCUAGGUAUCGCUAUUAGCAUGGUACAUCCAAUCGAGUCCACAGCAUUGGUCCUCGCAAAAUAACACAAAUACAAAAAGUCACUAGUCAUUACUAAAAAAUUCAAAUCAGCAUAAUUUGAAAUAGACAUAGUACAACAUAAAACAUGGACAUAUAAUACCGAAUUAACUUGAGGUUGAAGUUAAACCAGAUAAUCAACAGCAUUUACCCUCGCAAAACAAAACAAAUACAAAACAGUCGCUAAAUAUUACUCAAAAAUUCAAAUCAGUAUACUAUGAAAUAGACAAAAUACAAUAUAAGGUAUUGUCUAAUAAUACCUAAUUAACUUGAGGUGGAAAUUGAACCCGAGAAAUUUCAAUCUCAAGUUAAUUAAGACCCAAGAUAAAUUUAUAAAAUUUAUAGCAAUUUUUACGUACCACAAUAUUUUAAGGUGUGGAGAUAUGUAUUUCAGAAAAGUUCUGGGGGCCUAGGUAUCGCUAUUAGCAUGGUACAUCCAAUCGAGUCCACAACAUUGGUCCUCGCAAAAUAACACAAAUACAAAAAGUCACUAGUCAUUACAAAAAAAUUCAAAUCAGCAUAAUAUGAAAUAGACAUAGUACAACAUAAGACAUGGACAUAUAAUACCGAAUUAAGUUGAGGUUGAAGUUAAACCAGAUAAUCUACAGCAUUUGCCCUCGCAAAACAAAACAAAUACAAAACAGUCGCUAAAUAUUACUCAAAAAUUCAAAUCAGUUACUAUUGAAAUAGACAAAUACAUAUAAGGUAUUUGUGUAAUUAAUACCUAAUUAACUUGAGGUGAAAUGGAAACCAAACCCGGAAAAUUUCAAUCUCAGUUAUUAAGACCCAAGAAAAUUUAUAAAUUAUAGGCAAUUUUUACGUACCACAAUUUAUUUAAGGGUGUGGAGAUAUGUAUUUAGUGAGUGCUUAUCCUAGGUAUCGAUAUUAGCAUGGUACAUCAAUCGAGUCCACAGCAUUGGUCUCGCCAAAAUAACACAAACACAAAAAGUCAAUAGUCAUUACAAAAAAUUAACUCAGCCUAAUAUGAAAAUGACCUAGUACACCAAAAAACAUGGACAUAUAAUACCGAAUUAAGUUGAGAUUGAAGUUAAACCAGAUAAUU
rnacentral:lncRNA from 1 species